UGCAGGGCCUGGGGUUGCCUGGGUAGGGGCACAGUUUUAACAAGGUGUGCUUUGGGCUUUCACAAGGCCCACUACCAAUGGAAGCAAGAGCCUUCAAAAUGCUAAGUCAAGAGAUGUGGUGUUGGCAAGGUCUGUACAGGUUUUCUAAAGGAGGAGACCCACAGCAUCUAGUCUGAGAGAGAGACCGGGAGAGAAGGAACACAAGCACAAGGAGUGGAAGAGGGAGAAGCAGGCUUCCUACAGAGCAGGAAGCCAGUGGCGGGGCUUGAUCCCAGGACGCUGGGAUCAUGACCUGAGCCAAAGGCAGAUGCUUAACAACGGAGCCACCCAGGCACGCUACCUCUCUGUUUUUAUCUCCAGUUGCUUUUCUGCUUUAUUCAAUCUCCUGCUGUACUAGUUUCAUUUCUCAGGGCUUAUAUUCUUGUUCUUCUCCAUGCCUGAAGUGCUUUUCCCAAAUAUAAGAUAUAUAAUUUA